rnacentral:rRNA from 1 species
GGUGAUUGACCUAGCGGCGGACGGGUGAGUAAUACUUAGGAAUCUGCCUAUUAAUGGGGGACAACAUCUCGAAAGGGAUGCUAAUACCGCAUACGCCCUACGGGGGAAAGCAGGGGAUCACUUGUGACCUUGCGUUAAUAGAUGAGCCUAAGUCGGAUUAGCUAGUUGGUGGGGUAAAGGCCUACCAAGGCGACGAUCUGUAGCGGGUCUGAGAGGAUGAUCCGCCACACUGGGACUGAGACACGGCCCAGACUCCUACGGGAGGCAGCAGUGGGGAAUAUUGGACAAUGGGGGGAACCCUGAUCCAGCCAUGCCGCGUGUGUGAAGAAGGCCUUAUGGUUGUAAAGCACUUUAAGCGAGGAGGAGGCUCCUGUAGUUAAUACCUACAGUGAGUGGACGUUACUCGCAGAAUAAGCACCGGCUAACUCUGUGCCAGCAGCCGCGGUAAUACAGAGGGUGCGAGCGUUAAUCGGAUUUACUGGGCGUAAAGCGUGCGUAGGCGGCUUUUUAAGUCGGAUGUGAAAUCCCCGAGCUUAACUUGGGAAUUGCAUUCGAUACUGGGAAGCUAGAGUAUGGGAGAGGAUGGUAGAAUUCCAGGUGUAGCGGUGAAAUGCGUAGAGAUCUGGAGGAAUACCGAUGGCGAAGGCAGCCAUCUGGCCUAAUACUGACGCUGAGGUACGAAAGCAUGGGGAGCAAACAGGAUUAGAUACCCUGGUAGUCCAUGCCGUAAACGAUGUCUACUAGCCGUUGGGGCCUUUGAGGCUUUAGUGGCGCAGCUAACGCGAUAAGUAGACCGCCUGGGGAGUACG